rnacentral:rRNA from 1 species
AUGUGGUUUGGGGACACAUUUUAUGUGUCGGUUGAAGAAUCAGUCGCAAUGUUUCUGCUAGUGCUAAGCCAUGGGAUAAAAUACCGGUUAAUUGAAAGCACGUACAGAUGGGCACUUGAGACCAUCAGUAGGCAUUUAAAUGAGAUCUUAAGAGUUGUCCUUUCCUUGUCUCAUGAGUUUAUAAAGCUACCAACCCCUUCAGCUGAGCAACCCGGGGAUAGUAGAUGGAAAUGGUUUCCAGAUGGGCUAGGAGCUUUAGAUGGCACACAUGUUGAUGUUCGUGUUUCUGCUCUCAAGCAAGGCAGAUACAGGAAUAGAAAGCAAGAUGUGACCACUAAUGUGCUUGGUGUUUGUGACCGGAAUAUGAAGUUUUUGUAUGUCUUAGCUGGAUGGGAAGGUUCUGCAUCUGAUUCACGAGUGUUGCGAGAUGCAAUGUCACGACAAGACGCUUUUAGAGUUCCACAUGGUAAUCCUCUAUCUUGGUACGGUAGAACAACUAAGUUAUGA